UGGGCAACCUGCCCCAGACUCAGGGAUAACCCCGGGAAACCGGGGCUAAUACCCGAUACUCCGAUCGAACCACAUGGCUUGAUCGGGAAAGCUCCGACGGUCUGGGAUGGGCCCGCGGCCUAUCAGCUUGUUGGUGGGGUAACGGCCUACCAAGGCGACGACGGGUAGCUGGUCUGAGAGGAUGACCAGCCACACUGGAACUGAGACACGGUCCAGACUCCUACGGGAG
rnacentral:rRNA from 1 species